GAUCCUUUAUGGGCUGAAUGCUUUCUUUGUAUUUGACAGUGACAGGUUACAGUCUGGCAACAUUCAGGACAUCCAGGGUUAAUUUUGAAGCUGCGUUAAAGGAGAAUCGUUCUCUCAGUGUGGAGGGGAAAGCCUCUUUCACACUGAGUGAUACAGAAAAAUCCCUGGUCAAAAAUCUGUCCUGCCAAUUUUAUGGGGACUUUAUCCUUGAAAGCAACCCAACAACUUUUGAAGAGUCGGUGAAGACCCGCCAGCAACUUCCAAGACUACUGCAUUAAAAGUGAAGGGAGAUCUGUUCCAAUGAAACUCUGGGAGGCCAUUAAAGAAUUUGGAUUCCAAGGCUGCAGAGCUGAAAAGUGACAUCUGCACUGGACUCAUCAGAAAAGCUGAAAAAGGCCCUAGAAGAUGUGAGGGGAAAUAGAAAUGAGAUGCAAUGAUCCUCUGGAAUAAAAAAAUGGUAGGGAAAUUCUCACAGAUCAAGAAAAAAGAUAAGCAGUUUCAAAAAGUCUGUGCAAUGAUGACGCAUCUGAACUCCAGGAAACCAUGAAAGAGAAAGUUCCUUCUAUCGGAGCAAGGUGAAGAAGAUGAAAGCUUGGUGGAAAAACUCUUUGAUGAUAAGAGACGAGUCACCAUUGAGUCAUGAAAGAUUAAGCGAGUGGAUGUCUGAUAAAGAGAGAGAAAUUAAUGUCAUUAGGAGCUGUGUGGGGUUUAAAGGAGAAUAUAAACAUCGUUGGAUGCAAAGGUUCUUGCUCCAGGUGUAGAGCACUCUGUGCUUCACUUUCACCUCCCUGGGAACUGCUGAACCCUUCCUUAAUGAGUUGAGCAACAACCUACAUUCACACGACUUAAAAAGGCCCGAGAUCGUCACUCAAACAACACAGCGCGUCUUUUCAAAGCCCUGAAGAGCAGCAGAGUCUCUUUCUUUACAGCAGCUUUAGAAAAUGAGAAAAUACAAGAGGAAGCAUCUACCAUUUCACAGCCUGACCUCCUUCCUGUGGAGACCAUAAGUGACAACAGUGAUCUCAUCUGGUUUAAAUGCCUGUGAUCUCACGCUGGACCCAAACACAACAAAUGGCUACCUCGCUCUUCCUGAGGGAAACAAAAAGGCGACAUGUGGAGAUUGGCAGACCCAGAGAGAGGUUUGACUGUCCUCCUCAGGCGCUGGGCAGAGAGGGGCCCUGACUGGGCGUUGUUACUGGGAAGUACAGUUGAGUGAGGGUUAUUUAAAUGGUGUAGGUGUUAUAUAUAUGAAGGAACUGCCAAGAAAGGAGAUAAUCUGCUUACUGGGCUUGGAUCUAACCCCAUAUCCUGGUAUUUUGGCAAAAAAACCAAUUACCUCUCUGGAACAACCGACCGAGUCCGUUCCCCCUGCUGGCUGCAAACCAGUUGGAGUAUAUCUGGACUGGCUUAACUGGACUCCCCUAACGUUAACACAAUCAGUCAGCUCUGCACCUUCUGCACCAAAUUCACUGAGAGUGUUUUCUAUGUGUUUCUAUGCUGCUUUGUGUCCAGUAGUGUAGGAACAUGAUAUUUAUGACGAGUUCAGCAGACUAACCCAUCGUUAUGCACAGUUUGUGUUUGCAGUAUAUAGAUUUUACCAAUCUUUAAGGCUUUUACACAGUUCUGCAGGUCAACAGCAGCAAAUACAUAAGCACUCAAAUCAGAUAUCUAUUUAAGUCCCUCAAUCUGAACUAUUGUAGCAACACACAGAGCAGGACACAAGUUCCUGACAAUCACUGACACACACUGAUUGUCACCAUAUUACAGAGUGUCAUUAAACUUAAGAGAACAAUCCUGCUUUUGUAUCAGUGAUCUGUGAGUUCCGCACCAUCCCCGUAAACCCAUAUCAAUAUUGAUUCUGUUUACUUUUCAACCAGGUUUGUGCUCAAAUAUACAAAACAAACAACGAAACUACAAGGACCUCCGCAGGAUUAAUUUUGUCCAGUACAAAUCCUUGUAUAAUCAUAGAAAAGCCCAACAAACACGAUGCAUUGACACUCAGUUUUAAGUUUCAUUGCAUGGCGUUUUAUCUUAUAGGUCUUUUCUUUUAAAUUAACAUUUAGGGCUUUAAAUUUCAACUUGAAUCACUGCAUUUUAUCUCUUAUAUGAGAGACAACUUGGUGGCUGAAGCUGCUUUGUUGUUUGCUCACAUUUAUUAUCCGUUAUAUGAUUUUUAGAUACUGCUUCGUGGUAUAUGGGACAUUAUGUCACCAUAACACCAUCUACAGAAUAUCUGACAUGUAAUCAAAUGUUUUAGAGCAACAUGCUGCACAUGCUUUAAAUGUUAAUGAGAAAAACUGCUUUUCUUUCAGUUACUCUAAUUUUUAAUGCUGAUCCAUCAUUCUAUAAUCACUUUGUCAGGAGGGGUAUGGACAUUAAAUUGUUGAAUAUGUUCUGUUUUUAAUAUAAUAUACAUCUUGAUAAUUAUGGUAAACAUUCGGUAGCUAAAAUUCUAAGAAAUUAUUUUAAAAUUUUUCUUAUUUGUGUGUUCAUGAGACUCAAUUUAUUGUUGUGAAGUUUGGGCUAAAACAAACAAAAAAAAGAGUAUACAGCCAUGCUAGCAGCUCUGUGUGGCUGUACCCAGUCACAGCACUGUGCUAAAUGCUAACAUCAGCAUGCUAACAUGCUAAACAGGUAUAUAUCUACACACACAUAUAUGUAUAUAUAUAUAUAUAUAUACGCAUUGUGAAUCAUGUCAUUAUUUGAAAUAUCCAAACUUCUGUAAAUAUAUGGACACCAUAGUUUCUGGAGGGCAGAGUAGUGUUGUGGUUCUCACGCCGGCCUCACACAAGGUAAACAGUAUAUGUUCAAUUUUGAUUUUCACUGUAUUUUCCCUUCAAAAAAUCAUGAGUAGAAUGUUUUUUCACGCACAAAAAUGAGUAAUUGGAAAAUUGGUCCUAAGCCUGUUCUGUUCAACUUUGUGAUUUAUUUGGUGUCAUUUUUAAACAGGAAACCUCUGCUGGUGCCUGUCUAUCUAACAGGACCUGGGAAGUUUAGAGAGCACAGCGAGUAUUGUAUCCAAACCCCAAACUUGGAGUCCAUUUAAUUAAGGUUUGUUCUGAGAGUCGAUGUUAACAACAUUCUCUGUUGAUGUUUGCAGAGCUGAAGCUUCUCGGCUUUGAAGGAUCAACAAAUAUAUGAGAUUUCUGUAACUCCAACACCUGUCAGACAUGUUUGUUCUCUUCAUGACCAGAAUAUUUAAUAAAGCAGAGUCCUGAGUUGA